AUAUGCACACAUACACAUAUAUGAAUUGAUGGAUCUCCAGUUUCUAUGAUGAUUAUUCCAGUUUUUCAAUCAGCUGAAGCACCUCCUUCCUUUUUAUCAACACCUAAGUGGCUGAGUACUCCACAGACACAGUGAACUUCAGGUCCAAUCCUCCCAGCAGGCUUCCUUACAGCCUCCAUCUUCUCCAGCUUCACUCAUGAGCCAUAGGUUGAACCUGGCACUUAGGGUCCCAGUUAUGAUGACAGUUAGGGUCCCAGCUGAUCCGAUCAACAGAACAGCCUGCUUGUGAAAUUAACAUAAAAGUGGCUGAGCACUCCACAGACACGUGAACCCUUAACAUAGUUUUCAAGGAGACCCAGCAUGACACAGAGAGUAACAAGGGCUGGGCCCCUUUGAAAUACAGGCACAACUCAUUUUUGCCAGCUGAGUUGACUAGGACGACAUGAAAUGAAGCGUCUUGCUCAAGGACGCAAUGUGCAGCCAGGAUUCGAAAUCAUGACCUUUUGAUCAUGGGUCAAAUGCCGUUAACCACUGAGCCACACACCUUCGGGCUGAACCAAAGCUGUGUUAAAAUACAAUCGCUCAAUAUGUCAUGCUGUGGGAUUGAAACCAGGACCUUUUAAUUGCAAAGUGGGUCCUUAACCAUUGAGGCAGAUGUGUGUGUGUGUGUGUGUGACUGUCUCUUUGUGUAUGUAUAUGUAUAUAUGUGUAUAUAUAUAUAUAUGUGUGUGUGUGUAUAUAAGUAUAUAUGUGUGCGUGUGAGCGCAAUGUAUAUUCAUAUGUAUGUAUAUACAUGUGUGUAUAUCUAUAUGAACGUAUAUACAUAUGUAUUUAUAUACAUGUGUGUGUAUAUUUAUAUGAAUGUAUAUAUGUGUGUGUGUGUGUAAUGUAUAUGCAUAUGUAUUUAUUUACAUGUGUGUGUAUAUUUAUAUGAAUGUAUAUAUGUGUGUGUGUGUGUAAUGUAUAUGCAUAUGUAUUUAUAUACAUGUGUGUGUAUAUUUAUAUGAAUGUAUAUAUGUGUGUGUGUGUGUAAUGUAUAUGCAUAUGUAUUUAUAUACAUGUGUGUGUAUAUUUAUAUGAAUGUAUAUAUGUGUGUGUGUGUGUAAUGUAUAUGCAUAUGUAUUUAUAUACAUGUGUGUAUAAUUAUAUGAAUGUAUAUAUGUGUGUAAUCUAUAUGCAUAUGUAUGUAUGUAUAUACAUAUGUAUAUUUAUAUGAACGUAUAUAUAUAUAUAUGUGUGUGUGUGUGUAACACAUAUACAUAUAUUUGUAUAUACAUGUGUGUGUGUGUAAUAUGCUUAUGAAUGUAUAUGUGUAUAUAUAUGUUUGUAUAUGUGUGUGUGUGUGUUUAUAUCUGAAAGUAAUGUGUAUGCAUAUGUGUGUGUGUGUGUAAAGUUGUUGAAACAGUUUAAACACUUGUAGCUCAUAUCAACCCCUGACCCCAUAAAAAAGUGCAGUGGGGGCAGUGCAUCCAUCAGCUGAGAUUUGAUCUGACGUGCCCACAUCCUUCAUUGCAAUAUCAUAUGCACCAUGUACGUAUGUGUGUGUGUGUUUGUAUAUCUACGACCCCUAAUUCCCAUCACUUUCCAGAACUAUUUAAACAGACUCUGCAGUGCCCCCCUCCCCACCCACUGCCACCGACCCCUUUUUUUUCUCAUCAGUAACUCUGUGUAACAGGAUUUUUGUCCUUAGGGAGCAAAUGUUAUUUCCUGUUUGUUGACCCCUAGAAACUAUGGAAAAUUACUAAUAUUCCCUUCAAACUUCUUUUGUUACGAUAUUUAGUCAAACCACCAAAGAAUCCCUCUUAAAACAUUGCUAUGAUGCUCCCCCAUUGCUCCUGUUGAAAUGCACAUGUUGUCAACCACUAAGGGACAGGCUCAACUGUUUAUGGUCAAGCAAAUGGCUAGCAGAUAAAAUAAAUAAUAAUAAUGAAAUUAUUGUAUACAGUGCUCAGGUGCACCACAACUUGUCAAAAAGUGCGUAUAAAGUAUAUGCAGUGAUGUACAAAUGUCUGGGAGGUGAACAGUGUAUGAGUCAGAUACAUGCUUGCGUGUGUAUAUGGAGGAGAGAAAAUCUGGUGUAAGUGUUGGCGAAUCUCAGGAAGCAUGGAAGUUUUGAAGGAUGCAGUGCUUCGACAACUAACAACUGAUGCCGGCAGUUUGUUCCAUGCUUCAGCGUGUGUAUGGAGGGGAGAAAAUCAGAUGUAGUGUUGGCGAAUCUCUCAGGAAGCAUGGAAGUUUUGAAGGAUGCAGUGCUCCGACAACUAACAACUGAUGCCGGCAGUUUGUUCCAUGCUUCAGCGUGUGUAUGGAGGGGAGAAAAUCAGGUGUAGUGUUGGUGAAUCUCUCAGGAAGCAUGGAAGUUUUGAAGGAUGCAGUGCUCCGACAACUAACAACUGAUGCCGGCAGUUUGUUCCAUGCUUCAGCGUGUGUAUGGAGGGGGGAAAAUCAGGUGUGUGGUAUUGAGCAGAAUGUUUGCUAUAAUGAUAUUUCUGCCUCAGCAAAUCAGAGCUGGGUCUGUCAGAAAUGUAAUGGAAAAUAGUUCAGUUUGAAGACAUUGAUGUCCAAGUGGCAAAAGUAAGGUUUUAAGGGAAUACUAGUGAUUUCCUUUGAUUUCUAGAGAGAAGCAAAUAGCACCUACUACCCAAAGACAACAAGCUAAUCUGUGGUAUUGAGCAGAAUAUUUGCUAUAAUGAUAUUUCUGCUUCAGCAAAUCAGUGCUGAAUCUGUCAGAAAUGUAAUGGAAAAUAGGUCAGUUUGAGAACAUAGAUGUUUGGGGACAAAAGCAAGGUUUGAAGGGAAUAAUAGUCAUCUCCUUUGAUUUCUAGAUAGAACCCAAGAGGAAUUAAUGCCUACUGACCAAAGGCAACAAGCAAAUCUAUGGUAUUGAGCAGAAUAUUUGCUAUAACGAUACUUCUGCUUCAGUAACUCAGUGCUGAAAUGUAAUGGAAAAUGGGUCAGUUUCAAAUCAUUGAUGUUUGGGUGAUAAAAGCAAGGUUUUAAGGGAAUAGUAGUGAUUUCCUUUGAUUUCUAGAGAGAAGCAAACAGGAAAUAACAUUUACUGACCAAAGACAAAAUAAAAUUUUAAAAAAAGAAUAAAAAAUUCUGUUGCACUAUGUAAUUCAAGGAUUUGCUGUGUUCCAAGGACAGACCUUUCACUGUAAUCAAAAAAGGAAAGACAAAAAGAAAACACCCCACACAACCACCAUCCCCACCAUCAUAGAUUUUAUUGUUGCCAAAAAUCUAUGAAAAAAAAAAAAAAUUCUUUUUCCUGAACAGAAAUAUAAUAAAUAAAAAAAACAGCUAAUGGAAAAAAAAUAUAAAAUAAAACUGCGUAUUUUCCUCA
rnacentral:lncRNA from 1 species